rnacentral:rRNA from 1 species
AACGUAGGACGCGAGCGUUAUCCGGAGUUACUGGGCGUAAAGCGUGCGCAGGCGGUUUUGUAAGCCAGAUGUGAAAGCCCCGGGCUUAACCUGGGAAUGGCAUUUGGGACUGCAAGGCUUGAGUGCGGCAGAGGAGACUGGAAUUCCUGGUGUAGCAGUGAAAUGCGUAGAUAUCAGGAGGAAUACCGAUGGCGAAGGCAGGUCUCUGGGCUGACACUGACGCUCAUGCACGAAAGACGUGGG